GUAGGUGAACCUGCGGAAGGAUCAUUAACACGUAUCCAAACGUUAAAACCCCCCUGUGAACCUUCAACACCAAUGCAUCCUGCACACGUUCACGGGUCAACUCCUAGUAAAUCAUUGUCUAAAUCAGAUUUUGAGUUAGGGGCCUCUUUUCAGAGGUGCGGUCGAGCGGUUUAGCAUUAGAUACGUCCCGGCGCUCCUUGCGUAAGAGUUGGCGCAGUAAACGAUCGUUGGGCCCACACGGCCCAGCGUCCGGGGCCUCUCCGCGGUUACAAUCGGCGGCAAGGGAUACGCACGGAGCUUAUCUCAAUGACGAGAGAGACGGCCGGCGCCGAAAGGUUGUAGGCAUUUAAAAAACGAACAACUGUUAACAAUGGAUAUCUUGGUUCUC
rnacentral:misc_RNA from 1 species